CUCAAGCUUAAGAAAUGAGAAUGAAAGUCUAGAGAUGCAUAUGUUCAUAAAACGCUUUUAUGGUUUAAUAUACGCAGUAAACCGUUAGGAGCAGAUAUUGUCAACUGAACGUUUCAGACUUAGCUUGUGGAACUUUUGUACUUACUAAUUUGAUAGACAAAAUUAGAGCCAAAUAGGAUUUAUUGAAAAUGGUCAAGAAGAACAAUUUUAGUUAUAGAAAAAUUGAAAUGUUUAUAGAAACUACUUUGCAAGUCAUUUAACCUGAAAUUCUGAAUUAUGUGUUUAAUGAGUUGACUGUGAAGGAAGGAGAGUGAAGCUUAGUUGACUUCUGAUUCAAUUUUUGUACUUUAUCCCCCGAAAAAGUUAUGAUAAAUGGGGAUAUAUGCAAAGCACGUAACCCAUAAUAGACACAAGAUGUGAAUUCCUUCCCUCAUUGUUCGCCUUUCUUUCAGUGACAGAUUUAAUUACCAUUUCUGCAGGCCACACUGUAUGGAGAGUCCAGGGGAAAAAGGGAGGCCCAGAUAUUCUCACUGAGCAGGGAAGGAGUGAGCAGGACUGUACCCUUCUUGUAAGAUGAAAGAGGCAGUUCAUCCCAUUGUCAAAUCGCACAUCGAAUUCUCUCAAAUUAUCCUAUCAAUUUCAUCUCCUUACAAUAAUUAUUCCAAAGUAUUGUUCUUGUUUUUUAAUUUAACAAAAUGAUGCAAAGAUUAUCUGCAAUUGGAAAUUUGUGAAAAUGUCCAUAAAAGUUUUGGAAAAAAAAUGUAAUAAAGGAGGACUUUCUGUACCAAAAUUUAAUGGGUAAAGUCAUUGAAAUCAGAAGAAAGAGAUUAAUGGAACAGAAGACAAAGUGUACAAUCAGACCCAUGUGUGCAUAAGAAUAUAUUGUGUAAAGAAGGUGAUAUCACUAAAUAGCAAUGGGAAAACAAGCUAUCUUUUGAAAAGUUAAAGGUGAAUUAAAGAUUUCAAGUGCAAAAAUUGAAUUACAAGGUGGCUCCCCCAAGAAUGAAGGAUAAAUUUAAAAUUUUUAACUUCAAAAAUAACCCAAGCCUUAGUUCCAUCUCCCUGAAAUACUUUUUAUUCAACUAUUAUCCUAUACAUAUUGUUUAAUAAAGAAAUGUGUGUUCAUUAUAUUUUAUGUUCCAUUUUAUUUAAUAUUGUUAUGAUCUUUCUUAGGCCUAUGUAGUAUUUCUAGUUAUAAUUUUAAUGGUUAUUUUAACACAUCUUUUUUGCAGGUAUACACAAUUCACUGCUAACAGUUUAGUGUAAAGCCUUUUGGAGUUUUUUCCCUUUAUUUACAAAUAUGUAUCUAAAUAUGUGUUUGUUUGUAUUUGCCUCACAGACAAAAAUGCAGACAUUCUCU
rnacentral:lncRNA from 1 species